ACUUCUUGCUUUACCAGUGAGUAGAGGCAGAUAACUUUAGAUACAGGCGAGGAAGCCAGUGCUGGAAAAGACAUCUGACAACAUGUCAAUGCAUAAAUCCUGUGUCCUCUACUUCAAGUCUUAAUAAAGUGAGAAGAAGGUGCGCUCUCGAAAAGAGGAUACAGAAAUAUGUACAGUAUACCAGGUCUAUGACUAGUUAUUGAUAGGAUCUUAAAGAAUCACAGUGAGGAGACCUGAGACAAUGGGAUGCAGCGUGCUGCACGCAGACAGCACAGAUGGAAUCCGGGCUUGGAACGCUGGGACAGUCUCAGGAGGCAUUUGGAAGGUUCUAGCGUGACAAUAUGCAAUACCAGGAAAGCUCAGAGUCGUGUAUGGCGGUCGGAGGGGACGGACGCGUCCAUUAAUAAACAUUACUGAAGAACGGGCUAGGUUUGGGACACAACAACUGAAGCGUUACCCUGCAGCAGAAUCCCCUACCCGAGACCUCUCCCCUGGCCGCUGCUGGAUGGCUCACCCCACCCUCAUCAUUAGCCCUGCCCACUGCCAGCUGCGAGAGGAUCCAGGAGAGCUACACCCUGCCUGCUGAUAGGUAGACCUGGAUAUGAUUAGCAUGUCACCCACUGUCGCAGUGUGCUGGGAAGCUAGGGGCACCAAACGGAAAUUAUAUCUUGCCCCCACCAACCUAAAAAAGUUCUGACGCCCCUGUGUGCAAUAAAUAAUAUUUGUUCAAAUAAAAAAUCCAUCAUAAAACUAUUAA